AAACUGCGAUAAGUAGUGUGAAUUGCAGACGCUUUGAGCGUUAAACUUGAACGCACAUUGCGCCCUAAGAGUGCUAUCCUGCGGCACAUCUGGUUGAGGGUCGUGAUCAAAAACAGCAGGACUAUGGCUGUAAUAGAAAUAGCUGGUGAAUCACGAGUUCGGCCUACCGCCUCUAGCUGAAAGUGUUUUGCCAUAAUGCAGAGGACAAUCGCUCGCACGAGAGAUUGCCUACCACACGGAUGAUCUAUUAGCUAAAGCAAUAGGUCUCGGUCACCGGGUAUCAUGCUUAUAUACUCUGAGAUACGGCUAGUGGGCUUCAUAAGUACCUGGUAUCGAGAGUAUUCGCUCUCCCAACCUCAACUCAGGUGUGAUUACCUACUGAACUUAA
rnacentral:misc_RNA from 1 species